rnacentral:lncRNA from 1 species
UGAGAAGGGACUGGGUGACCUCCCUAACCUGCCAAACAUGUGCUGAGAGACCAGAUGGGGGUCUUGAUAUGUUGCCCAAGCUGAUCUUGAACUCCUGGCCUCAAGCAAUCUUCCAGACUUGGCCUCCCAAAGUGCUGAGAUUACAGGUGUGAGCCACCAUACCCAGUCUAUACUUUAUCUGAAGAAAAUUUCUUGAAAAGUUCUAUUUCUUCAAUCAUGCCUCCC